AAAAAUUAAUAUUAACAGAAUUUUUAUCAUUCAAAUAACACUAUAUACGACACCCUGUAUAGUAUACCUAUUAUAACAAUGUUUGUCGUUUUCUUUUUAACUACGGGUAUGUGCAAAACUGUCGUCAUCGAACGUGUUCAAGUAUGAAACAUUUUUGUGGACAAUACCGGAAUCUACGGUUUUGGGCACAUAUUUUUUGGUCGUUUUUCUCCCAUUAUUUUCCUAGGUGAUAAUUUAAUUUUCGCUCGCUUAUAAAGUUACAGACUUAAAGUCGCACAGGGUGCGUAACUCAUAGCAUGUGCAUGUUUGCUUUGAUCGGUCCUAGAGACACAUAAGUAAGCUAAAUAUUUGUUUCAGAUAGCUCGCAAGAAAUCAAAUAAGACAUUUUUUGUUGUAUAUUUGAGUGCUGGUAUGAAUGUUUUCAACUGUGUUUAUCAUUGUGCCUAUAAAGGCCUGUUUUAAAGCUACAAGUAACGA